rfam:Triticum aestivum genome assembly, contig: Triticum_aestivum_CS42_TGACv1_scaffold_226026_3B
AAUAUACUUCCUCCGUUAGGAAUUACUUGUCGUAGAAAUGGAUGUAUCUAGAUGUAUUUUAGUUCUAGAUACAUCAAUUUUCGAGACAAUUAAUUCCGAACGGAGGGAGUAUAAG